CUAUACUGAUGUGGUGUAUGUGGUACUGCUGAGCUUGUAUGUGAUCUGAACCAUUGUAAAGGUUGCAGUUCAAGGGCCUGAGGUGGAAGCAGAAUUUGUGAGGAUUACUACUGCUCCACUUGUUCCAAGGCUUUUUGCACAACUUGACCAAUACACUGACCAGCUCAUAAAAGUCUUCAAGAAAAAAGGAGGCACUGCAGUGAGGAAAAUUAGACAAAUUUUGG